UCCUACGGGGGGCAGCAGUGAGGAAUAUUGGUCAAUGGGCGCGAGCCUGAACCAGCCAAGUCGCGUGAGGGAAGACGGUCCUAUGGAUUGUAAACCUCUUUUGUCGGGGAGCAAAAGACGCCACGUGUGGCGUUCCGAGAGUACCCGGAGAAAAAGCAUCGGCUAACUCCGUGCCAGCAGCCGCGGUAAUACGGAGGAUGCGAGCGUUAUCCGGAUUUAUUGGGUUUAAAGGGUGCGCAGGCGGAAGAUCAAGUCAGCGGUAAAAUUGAGAGGCUCAACCUCUUCGAGCCGUUGAAACUGGUUUU
rnacentral:rRNA from 1 species